GUAAUUUUUUUUUCGCACAGUUUGAUCAAUCGGUAACCUUGAUGGCUACUCGGUUAUAAUCCUGUGCUAAAUAAUGGAAGAAAAUGAGC